rnacentral:rRNA from 1 species
AGAGUUUGAUCCUGGCUCAGGAUGAACGCUGGUGGCGUGCCUAACACAUGCAAGUCGAACGGACUUAAUUUGAAACCUAGUGAUAAUUAAGUGAGUGGCGGACGGGUGAGUAACGCGUGGAUAACCUGCCGUAUGCAGGGGGAUACCAACUGGAAACAGUUGCUAAUACCGCAUAAACGCACGGUGUCGCAUGACACAGUGUGAAAAGGUUUAACGGCAUACGAUGGAUCCGCGUCCGAUUAGCCAGUUGGCGGGAUAACGGCCCACCAAAGCGACGAUCGGUAGCCGGCCUGAGAGGGCGGACGGCCACAUUGGGACUGAGACACGGCCCAAACUCCUACGGGAGGCAGCAGUGGGGAAUAUUGCACAAUGGGGGAAACCCUGAUGCAGCGACGCCGCGCGAGUGAAGAAGUAUUUCGGUAUGUAAAGCUCUAUCAGCAGGGAAGAAAGGUGCCCCUUGGGCGCCUGGACGGUACCUGACUAAGAAGCCCCGGCUAACUACGUG